AUUGAACGCUAGCGGGAUGCCUUACACAUGCAAGUCGAACGGAGUGGCGAACGGGUGAGUAAUGUAUAGGAACGUGCCCCGUAGCGGGGGAUAACUACGCGAAAGCGUAGCUAAUACCGCAUACUCUUGGAGCGGCCGAUAUCGGAUUAGCUUGUUGGAGGGGUAAGGGCACACAAGGGCGACGAUCCGUCGCUGGUUUGAGAGGACGACCAGCCACACUGGGACUGAGACACGGCCCAGACUCCUCCGGGAGGCAGCAGUGGGGAAGUUUGUACAAUGGGGGAAACCCUGAUCCAGCCAUCCCGCGUGUGCUAUGAAGGCCUUCGGGUUGUAAAGCACUUUUGGCAGGAAAGCGGUACCUGCAGAAUAAGCACCGGCUAACUACGUGCCAGCCGCCGCGGUAAUUC
rnacentral:rRNA from 1 species